rnacentral:ribozyme from 13 species
GAAACAAAAAGAAAGGAGAGAGAAGAAACGGAUUGUCCAUAUAAAGAAAACUUUUUUUCCUAUCUUUCUGUCUGUUUUUCCUCAUCCCUUCUCUGUGAUGCUGAUGAAUGCAUCAAGGGUGAAACAAGAGUUGAGACGC